GACGAACGCUGGCGGCGUGCUUAACACAUGCAAGUCGAACGAUGAAGCCGGAGCUUGCUCUGGUGAAUUAGUGGCGAACGGGUGAGUAACACGUGAGUAACCUGCCCUUGACUCUGGGAUAACUGCUAGAAAUGGUAGCUAAUACCGGAUACGACCCUCGGAGGCAUCUCCAGGGGGUGGAAAGAAUUUCGGUCAAGGAUGGACUCGCGGCCUAUCAGCUAGGUGGUGAGGUAACGGCUCACCAAGGCGACGACGGGUAGCCGGCCUGAGAGGGUGACCGGCCACACGGGGACUGAGACACGGGCCAGACUCCUACGGGAGGCAGCAGUGGGGAAUAUUGCUCAAUGGGCGAAAGCCUGAUGCAGCGACGCCGCGUGAGGGAUGAAGGUCUUCGGAUUGUAAACCUCUUUCAGUAGGGACGAAGCGAAAGUGACGGUACCUAAAGAAGAAGCACCGGCUAACUACGUGCCAGCCGCCGCCGUAA
rnacentral:rRNA from 1 species